GAAGCCGGUUCACAGCCAUUCUAUGCAGAAUCUCCAAGGACAGGGAUCUAAUCCAUUAACUGAUCCAGAAAGACAGACUUUGACGGAUGACAUGGAGAGGCUUCAACGCGAGAAAGAAGCGCUUGUCGCGGAGAUACAGAGGCAUGAACAAGAGACACAAGGAUUUGAGAUGCAAAUGCAAGAUCUGAAGGAGAAAUUGCAACAGAUGGAGAGAAGGCAGCAAACUAUUGUGUCUUUUGUGGCCCAGGUCUUGCAGAAACCUGGGCUUGCUUUAAAUCUCAUGUCACAGUUGGAACCAGGC
rnacentral:misc_RNA from 1 species